rnacentral:rRNA from 1 species
CCCUUAGAUGUCCUGGGCCGCACGCGCGUUACACUGAUGCAUUCAACGAGCUUAUAACCUUGGCCGAGAGGCCUGGGCAAUCUUGUUAACGUGCAUCGUGAUAGGGAUAGAUUAUUGAAAUUAUUAAUCUUGAACGAGGGAUUCCUAGUAAACGCAGAUCAUCAAUCUGCAUUGAUUACGUCCCUGCCCUUUGUACACACCGCCCGUCGCUCCUACCGAUUGGGUGUGCUGGUGAAAUGUUCGGAUCGGCCGUUUGUCGCGGUUUCCGCGUCAUGUGGCUGAGAAGUUCAUUAAACCCUCCCACCUAGAGGAAGGAGAAGUCGUAACA